rnacentral:rRNA from 1 species
UGGGAAUAUUGCACAAUGGGCGAAAGCCUGAUGCAGCGACGCCGCGUGAGGGAUGAAGGUCUUCGGAUCGUAAACCUCUUUUAUAGACCAGCAAGAUAUGAGCGGUCUAUGAAUAAGCACCUGCUAACUACGUGCCAGCAGCCGCGGUAAUACGUAGGGUGCAAGCGUUAUCCGGAAUUAUUGGGCGUAAAGAGAUGCGUAGGCGGUCUGUAAAGUUUUUGGUGAAAGCCCCGGGCUCAACUCGGGAACUGCCAAGGAUACUCACAGACUUUGAGGGAAUCAGGGGGUGCUGGAACUCGUGGUGUAGUAGUAAUAUGCGUUGAUAUCACGAGGAACACCAAAGGCGAAGGCAGGCACCUGGGAUUCACCUGACGCUGAGGCUCGAAAGCGUGGGGAGCGAAAC